ACCUUCAAGGGAUCUGAACCUUAAGCCAUCUGAGAAUUCCUUUUAUCAGCAACAGAAGAAUUUUCAACAAAUUAGAUCUCGGCAGAGCCACAGCCUGAAAGCACUUACACAGGCAAAUGAAAAAUUCCUAAAGGGUAUGGAGAACUUGGAGAAGGACAUGAACAGUGUACUUUCUAGUGUACAAC